rnacentral:rRNA from 1 species
GCUUAUACUCGACCGUCAGCGGCACGUGCGAUCGCCCGUGAGGGCGGUCACGAAGCCCUGACGAGUAGGAGGGUCGCGGCGGUGAGCGCAGAAGGGCUGGCCGCGAGGCCGUCUGGAGCCGCCGUCGGUGCAGAUCUUGGUGGUAGUAGCAAAUACUCCAGCGAGGCCCUGGAGGACUGACGUGGAGAAGGGUUUCGUGUGAACAGCCGUUGCACACGAGUCAGUCGAUCCUAAGCCCUAGGCGAAAGCCGAUGUCGAUGCGGUGUAGUUUUUACCAAAUAUAUUUAUAUAUAGAGCGAGAACACACCCGUCGGGCGAAAGGGAAUCCGGUUCCUAUUCCGGAACCUGGCAGCGGAACCGUCAAUAAGUCGGGC